AUUGAACGCUGGCGGCAGGCCUAACACAUGCAAGUCGAACGGUAACAGGAAGAAGCUUGCUUCUUUGCUGACGAGUGGCGGACGGGUGAGUAAUGUCUGGGAAACUGCCUGAUGGAGGGGGAUAACUACUGGAAACGGUAGCUAAUACCGCAUAAUGUCGCAAGACCAAAGAGGGGGACCUUCGGGCCUCUUGCCAUCGGAUGUGCCCAGAUGGGAUUAGCUAGUAGGUGGGGUAACGGCUCACCUAGGCGACGAUCCCUAGCUGGUCUGAGAGGAUGACCAGCCACACUGGAACUGAGACACGGUCCAGACUCCUACGGGAGGCAGCAGUGGGGAAUAUUGCACAAUGGGCGCAAGCCUGAUGCAGCUAUGCCGCGUGUAUGAAGAAGGCCUUCGGGUUGUAACGUACUUUCAGCGGGGAGGAAGGGAGUAAAGUUAAUACCUUUGCUCAUUGACGUUACCCGCAGAAGAAGCACCGGCUAACUCCGUG
rnacentral:rRNA from 1 species